GACGAACGCUGGCGGCGUGCUUAACACAUGCAAGUCGAACGGAAAGGCCCCUUCGGGGGUACUCGAGUGGCGAACGGGUGAGUAACACGUGGGCAAUCUGCCCUGCACUUCGGGAUAAGCCUGGGAAACUGGGUCUAAUACCGGAUAGGACCACUUGGCGCAUGCCUUGUGGUGGAAAGCUUUUGCGGUGUGGGAUGGGCCCGCGGCCUAUCAGCUUGUUGGUGGGGUGAUGGCCUACCAAGGCGACGACGGGUAGCCGGCCUGAGAGGGUGUCCGGCCACACUGGGACUGAGAUACGGCCCAGACUCCUACGGGAGGCAGCAGUGGGGAAUAUUGCACAAUGGGCGCAAGCCUGAUGCAGCGACGCCGCGUGGGGGAUGACGGCCUUCGGGUUGUAAACCUCUUUCAGCAGGGACGAAGCGAAAGUGACGGUACCUGCAGAAGAAGCACCGGCCAACUACGUGCCAGCAGCCGCGGUAAUACGUAGGGUGCGAGCGUUGUCCGGAAUUACUGGGCGUAAAGAGCUCGUAGGUGGUUUGUCGCGUUGUUCGUGAAAACCGGGGGCUUAACCCUCGGCGUGCGGGCGAUACGGGCAGACUAGAGUACUGCAGGGGAGACUGGAAUUCCUGGUGUAGCGGUGGAAUGCGCAGAUAUCAGGAGGAACACCGGUGGCGAAGGCGGGUCUCUGGGCAGUAACUGACGCUGAGGAGCGAAAGCGUGGGGAGCGAACAGGAUUAGAUACCCUGGUAGUCCACGCCGUAAACGGUGGGUACUAGGUGUGGGUUUCCUUCCUUGGGAUCCGUGCCGUAGCUAACGCAUUAAGUACCCCGCCUGGGGAGUACGGCCGCAAGGCUAAAACUCAAAGGAAUUGACGGGGGCCCGCACAAGCGGCGGAGCAUGUGGAUUAAUUCGAUGCAACGCGAAGAACCUUACCUGGGUUUGACAUGCACAGGACGCGUCUAGAGAUAGGCGUUCCCUUGUGGCCUGUGUGCAGGUGGUGCAUGGCUGUCGUCAGCUCGUGUCGUGAGAUGUUGGGUUAAGUCCCGCAACGAGCGCAACCCUUGUCUCAUGUUGCCAGCGGGUAAUGCCGGGGACUCGUGAGAGACUGCCGGGGUCAACUCGGAGGAAGGUGGGGAUGACGUCAAGUCAUCAUGCCCCUUAUGUCCAGGGCUUCACACAUGCUACAAUGGCCGGUACAAAGGGCUGCGAUGCCGCAAGGUUAAGCGAAUCCUUUUAAAGCCGGUCUCAGUUCGGAUCGGGGUCUGCAACUCGACCCCGUGAAGUCGGAGUCGCUAGUAAUCGCAGAUCAGCAACGCUGCGGUGAAUACGUUCCCGGGCCUUGUACACACCGCCCGUCACGUCAUGAAAGUCGGUAACACCCGAAGCCAGUGGCCUAACCCUUGGGAGGGAGCUGUCGAAGGUGGGAUCGGCGAUUGGGACG
rnacentral:rRNA from 1 species